rnacentral:rRNA from 1 species
GACAGAGGCCACAAGCGUUAGGCGGAAUCACUGGGCUUAAAGCGUGUGUAGGUGGAUGGUUAAGUGCCUUGUGAAAUCCCCCGGCUCAACCGGGGAACCGCUGGGCAGACUGGCCGUCUUGAGCCAUCUAGGGGCAACUGGAACGAACGGUGGAGCGGUGAAAUGCGUAGAUAUCGUUCGGAACGCCAACGGUGAAAACAGGUUGCUGGGGAUGUGCUGACACUGAGACACGAAAGCCAGGGGAGCAAACGGG